UGCGCGNGCUACCAUGCAGUCGAGCGGGGAGAAUGGAGGAGCUUGCUCCGAAAUUCUUCUAGCGGCGGACGGGUGAGUAACGCGUGAGCAAUCUUUCCUAAACAGGGGGAUAACGCAUCGAAAGGUGCACUAAUACCGCAUAAGACCACGGUGUCACAUGGGACUGAGGUCAAAGGAGAAAUCCGGUUUAGGGUGAGCUCGCGUCUGAUUAGCUAGUUGGUAGGGUAACAGCCUACCAAGGCGACGAUCAGUAGCCGACCUGAGAGGGUGAUCGGCCACACUGGGACUGAGACACGGCCCAGACUCCUACGGGAGGCAGCAGUGGGGAAUAUUGGGCAAUGGGGGAAACCCUGACCCAGCAACGCCGCGUGAGGGAAGAAGGUCUUCGGAUCGUAAACCUCUGUCCUCAAUGAAGAGCAGAAGACGGUAAUUGAGGAGGAAGCCCCGGCUAACUACGUGCCAGCAGCCGCGGUAAUACGUAGGGGGCAAGCGUUAUCCGGAAUGAUUGGGCGUAAAGGGCGCGUAGGCGGCCGUUUAAGAAUGGAGUGAAAGUCCUGCUUUUAAGGUGGGAAUUGCUUUGUUAACUGGACGGCUUGAGUGUAGGAGAGGUUAGUGGAAUUCCCGGUGUAGCGGUGAAAUGCGUAGAGAUCGGGAGGAACACCAGUGGCGAAGGCGACUAACUGGACUAUAACUGACGCUGAGGCGCGAAAGUGUGGGGAGCAAACAGGAUUAGAUACCCUGGUAGUCACACUGUAAACGAUGAAUGCUAGGUGUAGGGGGUAUCGACCCCUUCUGUGCCGGAGUAAACACAAUAAGCAUUCCGCCUGGGGAGUACGGCCGCANGGUUGAAACUCAAAGGAAUUGACGGGGGCCCGCACAAGCAGCGGAGCAUGUGGUUUAAUUCGAAGCAACGCGAANAACCUUUACCNAGGUCUUGACAUCCAGUAAAAACCUGCANANAUGCANUGUGCCUUNCNGGCGUACUGANACAGGUGGUGCAUGGUUGUCCUCAGCUCNUGUCNUGANAUNUUNGGGUUNAANUCCCNCCAACCNAGCCCCAACCCCUUU
rnacentral:rRNA from 1 species